GGAAAUGUCUUGCCACAAUUCAACUUGCAUGUCGGUGGGUGUGUUCGUGGGUGGGUGUGUGGCUCCGUCCAGUACGUACGUGGGUGUGGAGGCCGGAGGACAACCUCAGGUGUUCCUCAGGCACCAUUCACCUUGUUUGUUUUGUUGUUGACCUGGAACUUGCCAACUAGCUUCCUCGGCACGGUUCCAUCUCCACCCUCCCAUCUCAACGGACAACCAGGUCUCCCCACGGCACAGUUACUCCUUUGUUUCCUCAACUCUAACACUUGGUUGAAACAGGACAGUCUGAGUCAAUGGCCCCUUCCCAACCUCUGGCCCCCUGCAAUUUAUUCUAACAGAUUUUCUUUCCCUUCGAUUCUUGUCUCACAACCAAGAAGAAUAAAGUCUGUAAGCAACAACCCAAAGUGAGCCAAGGAAAGAGGUGCAUGUUAAUAGCGACUGGAGGAACCUGGAGGUUAGCAUGGGCUUUGAUAUGUAACCACAGGUAUAUUCCAAGAGAAAUGGCCCUUUCUGGCAAGCAGAAUCCUGUUCCAUAUGUGUCUGAGGAAUGCUGCCAUCAAUCCUUCUCUGCCUUUUGGAGUUUGGGACCUAACAGGCUGAAAUCAUCUCCCCAGCCCUGGAAGCUUCCAAAUCAACCAUGGCCUCUUUGAAAAGCCCCUGUCCACAACUGAAUACAUGAACUAAGAGAGGGCCAUGUCAUUUGUCAAAAUGUCAUCAGCUCUGGUCCUGAGAAGGAACUGCAGUGCCAGAGGAAGCGGGAAUGGACAGAGCUGGAGGCUACACAGGACUGCCUGAGUCUCAGGCCCCAAGCCGAGACCUGGGUAGGGUGCCGUGGUCUGAGGCUUCUGACCCAGGCACCUGUUGCCAGGGUCUGAACUUGAUGCUGCAAAGGGGCUUCAAUCUCAGCGACAGAACCUCACCAAUUCAAGAUUCAUAAACAACCUCGCCCGAAUCUGUGCAGAACUUGCUCGAGGGUGCAGUACCUCUUUGAUGGAUUUUUUUUCCCCAGCAUUUUCUUUCUCAUCUUGGGCUCCUUUGCUCCUCAAAGGCUGUCCUCUGACACCACAUGGAAGCCAGCUUUCCCCCAGAAUCCCUUGCAUCUUCCCCCCCCACAGUGCCUAAUACACACCCAGUGCCUAAAUGUACACCCACAGUUGUUACCUCUGCUGUAUGCACCCACAGACUUCAAACUCAAAUAUGCAAAC